AUGAUGGUGGCUGUAGCACGCCCUUGCUUAUAUAUACCACCUCUUUCCUGCCUCAUUAAUCACCCCACCUUGUCAUUUGAACCUAUCCUGGUACGAGCCAAGCAUUCUUUCUUGUCUUGGAUACUUGCAUACUUCUAUUGUCUGCUUUGCAGUAAACAUGUUAUUGAGAAUUACUUUAAGAUUCGAUAUGUUCUAUAUGAUGGGGUUAAUAUUGUUACAUACGUAGUUCUUUUGGCUUUCUUGUUUUCCAGAGUUUUAGCCAAAGCUCCUGUAAUUGUUGUAUUAUGUAUGCUAGUCAUCUCUGAAGCCUUGUAA
rnacentral:rRNA from 1 species